GGUAUGGUGGUGAGGUAUAGGGUGGAGGUGACUGCCUACCACUGCAUCCUUUAAAUGCACCCAUCCGUUUUAUGAGGUAGUCCGUGCUUCAGCCUAGAACACUGAUUUCAGUUCUGAAAAUGGACAAGACAUCAUGAAAUUCUUUUUGACAGCAUGGUUCAAACAGAGGUAAGUUUCUUUCAGAAUUUCAUUAUAUUUACAUUUAAUGGAUCUUGUCAAGUUCAGUGUUUUAACUUUGUUAUGGGGGGUGGGGUGGGGGGUCACAAUGAUUGGUUUUGUACCCCUUCAAAACUAAAGGAAUUAGCCAAAAGAUGUUCUGUGAGCAUUUCAUCAUGAGGUUUAAGUUUAUGAAAUUAAGAAAAAAAUUAGAUGAAAUGAAAGAGAUGUAAAAAAAAAAAAUGUCAAAAGUGGUUGUGGGAAAGAUUGUCAGAAACUACCAGAUGUAAAGAUUUUCUGAAGAUACUAUAGGCUUUUCAAAAAUGCUGGAAUCUUAAGCAGAAAUAUAACUAAAUAGUUAACGGAUAUUCAAGUGUUACAAAACAUGUGAAGGCCUUCUUUAGUAGAAUAACUAAUUGUCUGCAGAAUGGCUACAGGAAAAACAAACCAUUACAAAGAAUAAAUAUAAGAAGCAGAAAUGAUUCCUUGUCCUUGUUGAUACAAUAAGAAAUCUACACAGGAAGUAUCUGUGUGAACAUACUACACAGAUAUCUUACCCUAUGCCACUUAUCACCUAUUUUGGGUGGUGCACCCCUCUCUUGCUGAUAUGUGUAAACUGCAUGACAGCCUGAAAUCAUGAAUAUGUACAAUCUUGAAAAUCUUGCUGAAAUGGUGUGCUGUAAUUCCUCCAGCAAGAAGUGCAUGUAUGUAUGAGUGUGACAAAUGCAGGGAUAAAAAAUGUUCCUGUUUUUACUGCAUAUAACCUGCAUAUAAUUGGCAUUCACUCAGUGGAUGUUAAGAGAGAGGGAAAGCAAUGUGAAGGGUGGAACAGUGAAGGUUGUGAUGCAUUUCUGAAGAGAGCAGCUGGUCUAAAAAAACCCCAAAAAUUCCACUCUUCUUAUACCUCAGGCGCCCCAUGGCACCUCCUUUUCCAAAUUUAAAUAUUUCCAGCAAUUUCACAUUAUAUUCAAUGUAUGGCUACUUUAAUCCUUCUUUCCUUAAUUUACAUACUUACUAUAUUUUCUUAUUUUUCCCGAUACCGCCCCUUAAUUAAAACAUCCUCCCCUUGAUGACAUCAAUGUUCCUUCUCUCAAUGUUCCCCGUACAUACAUAGAAGGGCACGCUUCCUUCAUUUGACCACAACCUUUCGGGUACAUGAUGUUUACAACAAUGUGCACAUACCUACCUCAAUGUUUACAACAAUGUGCACAUACCUCACGUACCUUGAUGUUUUCAAUGUUUUAAAAUUAGAUGUGCUUCCAUUUCUUAGUAAACCAUGCUUCUAUUUCUUGGUAAACCCUCUAUGUCUGAAUUUGAAUGUGCUUCUCUUUUACCUAUUAAGCGAUGCUGAUGCUGAUAAGAUGCUGUUAUGUCUAGCGUAUGUCUAUCUUCUCUCACCUGGGUGACUAUUCUGGGCUCUGAAAAUCCCCUUACUUUCAAACUUCUCAUCACCAAAAAAUCCCCUCUAUUUCACCCUUCUCAGCACUAGUUCUGCAUGAUUAUUAUAAAAGUUAUACAUUUGCAUUAAUCAAAAGCUCAAAAGCCUGAUAUUAUAAAGGAUAUAUAUUUUAUAUAUUUGCAUUACUCAAAAGCUAACUACUAAUCAGUAGCUAAAUAUUUUGAUAGAUAUUUGAUAGGUAUUUGAUAUUUGAUAGAUAACCACUACUUCUAGGCAGAGCAUUGCCAUUUUAAAUCUAGGCUAAUAUAUGACGUAUGAUAUCUAGGUAAUUUCUCCGACAUCACUCCCCCCUUUGAGACUCUUGAGUCUCACAUUCAACUUGUACGUGUCUUACUACUCUGUGUUCUUAUCCCUCAUGGUAUUUACAUCAUCUUCAGUGACAAUAUACAAUAUGGCUUUCACGUGCAAUGUCCUUAUAGAUGAGGCUCAGUUUCUUCUGACCCAGGCACUUUGCGUGCCGCAGAAGGUCCGUUGGAGCUCCUGGGAGAGGUUCACCUAGCACUUCACCUGGGGCUCAUCACUACAUGGUCUAAUGUGUCACAUGGACACUAUCUAUGUUGGGUAGACAUCAGAAACAUUUAUGACCAUGAAAAAUUAAGUUCCACAUAAUUAGAUUAGUUUGUAUUUCUAACGUAACAAGUACGCUGUUAUGACACUGUUUUAACAUUUUCCACCUAUUUAACCACCUAUCCUGCUGUCCUCUCCAUUCUCCAUUUUCCUAUUACUUCACAUCCACACAUCACUCCCCCCUAUUACUUCAUUACACAAGCUUCUUCUCAAGGUGAACCAGGAGUGGGCGAAAAACCCUCAGGUGCCAAUUGCGAGGGAAAAUUCUCACUCUGUCCGCAUCUUGUUUGCGCAACAGUGUGUUCAUAUCAUCAGGUUCACAUAAUAAGUUAAAUGAACAUUACACAGACAUACCUAAAUGUAACAUAUGACACAAACAAUCAACAUAUAUGGGUGUGUGUGUACACAGUGGACACUGCUGGUCUUGGGUAAUCUACAGACGUUAGGUCGCAUCUCGUCUUUCUGUAUUCGCCACCAGCAUGAGACAGGCUAGGCACCGGCGAUAUGGAUUGAACAUGUAGGUCAACCUGCUGUCACUUGGCUCCAAUACGGCACAUUUCGCGUGGUGAAAUCGCCGGCGUUGCUGUGGAUCAUCACUAUCGACAUUCGCCAUACUUCUGCACACAACACUUACUGUAAACUGAGAUAGAAACAGCCUAGACAGAUAUGGACAUACAGAAAACAAGUAACACAAACUAGACAAACAAAGCAAACAACAUCAAAGUCUUUGAAUACUUGUUAUCAGUUCUCAACUCCAUCUCCACUCUCGUCUAUCAGCAAGAGACUUGAUUAACUGCACGAGACUUGGAUAAUUGCAUUCCUUUACAUUUAAACACUCUGAUGUACAUGUAAUCUCCAGGGUCCACCUGACGUGGCUGCUCCUCCACCUCGGUGCUGUGUACGGCUUCCCCAUCCUGUGAACACAAAGUUCUAUGUAGCCAGGUUAGAUGUUUUACAUAACUUGACAUUUCGCCUUCUAGUUGCUCUAGCAAAGGGCCCUUGUAAGGUCCCUGAAUGAAAGCCACUGGCAUUGGUUGCCCCGUAAGCAUUUCAUGUGGUGUCAAAUGAGUGUUUCUGUUGGUUUGAGAAUGCAUUUUCAUCAGUGCUAACGGCAAUGCUUGUACCCAAUUAAAUUCAAUUAGUGCUCGCACAGAUUUUAGCUAUUUUCUCUUUCAUGUUCGCAGGAAUUUGUCCACCAUACUCACCAAUUAUAGAGACUACCCGUCCUCUCGAAUUGUUGCAAUCCAAUCCUCUAGGGAGCAUCCUAACAGUUCCGAAAUUGCCGGUCCGUGUACAAUAGCUGACCCAUCUGCUCACUGGAAACCUCUCUGUGCCCAAAUUGGCCCAAACACAUGACACACUUCGUAAGCAUAGGCCGAAUCAGUGUAUAUUGUACAUGUCUUGCCUGCUCCCAGUUUGCAUGCUGCUAUUAGUGCUUUUAUUUCUGCCAAUCCUGCCGACUACGCCAAGCAUGGUUGUGCCACAGUCAUCACUGUGUUAAAUGUUCCUGAUUUGUCAUCAUAUUGAAUCACUGCAUAGCCAGCUUUGUUUCACUCAUUUGGUCUGCUGCUUUCACUAUGUCUCUAAGUGGCUGUGUUUUCAUAGCAAAAUCACAAAUCCACGGUCUGCUAAAACCAGCCAAACCCAAGAACAAUAGCAUCUGCUGGACAGUUUGAGGUCUAGGAGCUUUUUGGAUUGUUUCUACGUGGUCUGGUGAGAUUUUUUGUGUAGUGCCUUCGAGCACUCUAACUUAGUAUUCCACCUUUUGCUGGCAGAAUUGCAACUUUUCUUUAUUUACUUUAUCCCCGUUUUCUGCCAGAGUUUUUAGGACUUGCGUCUUGUACACGUUGUUCAUCCACAUAUUGCAAUAUUGUACUGGACACAUCCAAAUUGGCCAGAUCUCGAGCCAGAACUUGGUUAAAACUGAUGGAUCUUACAAUAGCCUUGUGGCAGUCUUGUGUAUGUAUAUUGCUGUCCACCAUAGGUAAAAGUAAACAGGAACUGCGAAUCUGGGUGCAAUGGGACACUAAAGAAUGCUAAGCAUAGAUCAGUUACUGUGUACCAUUUUUGUUCCUUCUGGAAUGUUUGACAACAGGGUGUGUGGAUCUGGGACUACUGGAUUUUCUGCUAUUACCACAUGGUUUCCUGAUCGCAAAUCAAGGACCAGCCUCCAUUUGUCUGAAUUUGGUUUUCUGACCAGAAAAAUGGGAGUGUUGCACUGACUUUUUGUUGGGACCAGAAUUCCUGCUUCCGCUAGUCCCUCAAUCGUUGGCUUUAUCCCCACUCUUGCCUCCUUCGACAAGGGAUACUGUUUUUGAUAUGGCAACCGUGCUCCUGGUUUAAGCUGUGUCUUAACUAGACCUGCUGACUUCACCAGCCCUACAUCUGUCUGAUGUUUGGUCCAUAACUGGCCUGGCACUUGUGCUAAUGCUUCCCCCCUUCUUCCUCUGUGAGCUCCCGCUCUUCUGCCCAUUGGGGCAGUUGUUUCAUCUUGCUCUUCUCUAUCCUCACAUUCUCGGUCCUACUUAUCCGCACAGUCUGUGGCUUCACCUCAUCUACUGCUACCUGCUCUAUUCUGAGAAACUUUCUAUCUAGAGAUAUACUGACUCCCUGUCCUACCUGUGUCCACUGUGCCACCUGACUUGCUUCCCUCACCAUUGGUCCUAAUUCUUUUGAUUCAAAACCCUGAGGUCCUGCUAUAAGGUUUAUAGUCUUUAGAGUGUACUGUGUCUUUGCUUGUUCAUCCCACAUGGCCUCAUAUUCUUUGUUUUGUCCUUCUUCAUCAUACAUCAUCAUGCAGUGCCAUGGUUCCCCGCUUUCUUGACAAUCGGGCCAUAUUUUAAUGAGCCAGGGUUUCCACUGUGCAUACAGGUCCCUUAUUCCACUGUGCAUGUUUAGUUCCAACCAAUACACCUUGUCCAUUGUACAUAGUUCCAAUUUUGUCUCCAUCAUGACGUACUGUUGAAUUAGAUGCUCUGGGAGCUCCACCCAUACUCCACUUUCUCCGCAAUGUAUUUUAGCUCCUAACUUGCAGAGCACAUCUCUUCCAAGUAGAUUCGCUGGAGUUUCUGGGGAGAACAGUAAUGGUGCUUGCACUGUCACUCCUUGUAUAUUCAGGAAGACUGCACCAGCUCCCCUUCUGGCUUCUCUGGGCCUCUGCUUCACAUGCUUCCCCACAGGGCCUGCUCCCAAGUUUAUUGGUCCUUGUGGCUGUGGCCCCAUCCAGGGUCCCCUCCAAUUUCCUGGACCUUGCCAUCCUUGAUUUUGCUGUGAACCUCCUCUUGGGGGCGCCAUUUGUUGAUAGGCAUAUGGACAGUCCCGUUUCCGGUGACUAGGGUCUUGACAUACCCAACAUCCUCCUCUUCCUCCUUCACUCAUCAGAGCCCUUCUUCUAGAUGGUUUCUGGAAUGCUCCUCCUCCUCGACCGCACCCAGAUGAGCCCCCACGUCCCUGACCCCAUCCUCGAUUCUGGGGUGGGUACUGUUGAAAUGGGGGGUACAUUACCAUUGGUGCAGGCGCAUAAUAAGCAGGUUGCAUCUACUGCAGUGGGACCACUGGUGUCGUUUGUGUCAUGGCUGCUGGCUGUGGCACCAGAGGUGCAGGCUGAGCCACAGACUUUCUUCUUUGGUGCAGGCCAGCUCACUCAAAUGGGCCUUGUGGAGUUGCAUUACCAGGCUUUCAGCUGUCUUCUUUGCUUCUUUUUCUCUUCGUCUGUGCAGCUCCACAUAAUGAAUUACAUUAGCCUCGAAGGUGGGCCAAGCCAUUGUAUUCAGUCCCACUACUGUGUCCAGUUGAUCUUGGACCUCUAUUGGAAGAGCUUUCUUUCCCAUCAUGCUGAACAGGGUUUGACUUGCUGCUGUUUCAUCCCAUGCUCCUCCCAUCUCUUCUCUCCAUGCCUCUUGUAGCUUCAAUACAAUUCAAUACUCUCUCCCAAUUUGAUCUUCUCCACUCUUCCUGGAUCCGCCCACACCGGAUAUGCAUACCUCAGAGACCGCCAGAUUUGAUUACGGUGGGUCCCAAAUGGGCUUGGAUCAUAUUUCUGUCCCACUGCCUCUCUUCUCAGGUCUACAUUAUGAAAAAUUGCAAUCAUUUUGGCCUUACCCAGUGACUGAGACAAUAUUGCCUUGACAUCUCCUAAUGCCAGUACUUGUCCCAUUGGUUGCUCCUCAAACCGUGUGAUCCAUUUUUGAGCUCCUUCACAGAUGCUUGGCAGUCUGCCAAUUAAUCCCAUCAAGUCCAUGAAUGACCAUGGGACAUAGGCCACAUCAUUUCCUUUUAUUAUCACUGGCAUCUGGGAUGACACCUUCUGCUACCUAUCACCUUUCUUUUCUUCAUUGUCUUUCUGGGGCCAUUCCUCAGUUUCUUCUUCAUUCGCCCCUUGUCUAGGCUUAGCAGAUCUCAAUGUCAUAGACAUGGGUGGCACCGUUUUCUUUGUUCUUUCUUUCUUUUCCCCUCUCAACUGGUCCCGUAAUUCUCUCAUCGUCUUCCGGGCUUCGUCCACUCUUUGCUCCAGAUUACUGUGUGCUUCUCUUAACUCCUGGUGGAGCUGAAUCAGUUCAUCGUCUUCAUUUUCUUUAAUUCUUACCUGACUCAGUUCAGCCAACUCCCCUUGUGAGUGCUCUAGUCCAUGCACUUUCUGCAAUAUUUGCUUACGCAGAUUUUUAUUCUCUUUUAGACUUAUUUCCAUCUUUUCCAGUCUGUUUGUUUCUUCCAGUUCUUUUUCUGCAUGUGCAUGUGUCCACUCCUUCAGCUCUUCCAUUGUUAAACGGCUGUCUUCCAUUCUUUCUUCCAUUUCAGCUUCAUUUUCUUCCUCUUCCUCACUACACUUAUCUUGUUCUUCCUCACUACACUUAUCUUGUUCUUCCCUUGUUCUUUAUCUUGGUUAAGGGGAGGGGUCUCUCUUCCCUCGUUCAUUUCAACUCCUCAUCCUCUCCAAGCUGGGAAAAUAAAUUCGCCUUUUCCCUUUCAUCGUCAUGCUUGUCCGAGUGUCUUGCAGGGGAUCUUCCGUCUUCACUGUUCACCCUUGAUGGUGGGUCUCUUUCCCCCUUUCGUGCGGGUGUGCUUGAAUAGCCUCCUGAUCCUCGCCACUGCAUUUUUCCGCCAUACUUUCCUUUCUCCAGAUUCGUCUGAUACUCUUUCCAUAUAUUGUUUUCCUAUCCAGUCUCUUGUAGGGCUCUGGCUCCCACGUCAGACUUUCCUCACUUCCUUCCAGGUUCCCCCCUUUCCAGGUCCCCUCUCUCUUUGAGCUCUGUGCUGCUGCUGCGUCUUCAUUCGGCCUAUAUAUUACUUUGCCCUCGAAUUGGCCUUCCACUAUCUCUAAAUUUACUCUCUGUGGUUGUCCUUCUUCUAGGAGAGGAUAGAGUCCUGCUGUCUGUGUGGCACUCAUUUCUCUGUAUGGGGGUGGUGGUUUCUCCUGCUCCACAAGCUGCUGGUGGGGCUGUAGCCUUUUUUUCCGUCAUGUCUGAGCUCUCUCUCUCUGCCGUUCUCCUUCCACUUGGAACCAUUUUACAAUUUCUUUCUUCCUGUCUGUCUUUUCACUAUUUUCUUUCUUUGUCUCUCCCCAACAAUCUAGUCUUUUCUUCAUUUUUUCACACCUGUCAUUAUUGAAUGUGCCCUCUCGUGGCCACUGCAGCUCCCCACGUGUCCGGUCAUACCAUUCAGCCUACCACCCUGGGUUUGACCGUAAUAGCAGCCUUUAACCCUGAACAAUACUUACUCUGUACUGGUCUAGCUCUAAACAAUCUCCACUACAGGCUCAAAGUACACCACUUCCCUACUUGAGUGUAAGUACAAAUACUACUGUUUUUUAUUAUAAAGACAGAUUUUUUUCCUUAAGUAAAAGUAUAGGAGUACUUUGUUUUUAAAAGUAUUUAAGUAUCAAAAGUAAAAAAUAAAUGUCAAUGUAUUAUUGUAUGCCAUACUUUUGGAGUAUUCUAUUGAAUAUAUAGUUUGUAAAUGUUUUGUAAAUGUAACUGUAAAUGUUUACAAAUGUUAAUUAAGAGCUAGAAUGUGUAGAAUGUUACAAAACCUAUAGCAAUUAAACGAUUGAAUUGACAAAAAAGACAAGUAUAAUGAAAAUAAUUUUUAAGCUCUAAAACCCAGGUACACAACUUUAGCAGCAGUAUACAACACUGCUUUAACAAAGAGCAAAACAGAAAGACUUAUUUGCCAUCAAAACAAAAAUGUCAAAGCAUCAGUUGUGACAAUAAUACUUACUCAAUUUUGUUGAAAAUACUUUGACACAAUAUACUGAGUUGAAUUUAAAAAAGGAAAAUUAAAAUCACCAAAAAAGGAAAAAAAGGUGGAUUUCAUUCAUUCAAAAGACAGUGUAACAGUAACUUAGUUUAGCUUAGAUAUUUAGUAAAUAUCAUUUAAAUUUUAACAAAAUUCUUAGUAGAUUGAAACUAUUUUCAGUCAGAAUAAUGAAUAAGUGUAACGCUUGUUUUUGUUCAAAUUGCUUUAAAUUUACUAAAUGUAUUUAUUUAUAUCAACUCAUAAUUUACUAUAUUAUUAAUAAAUGCAACACAAUUUAGCUAUUGCUUUCAUCACAAUACACAAAUUAAAUUUACAUAACUUAUUUAAUACAUCAACUCAUAAUUCCGACACUUAAAAUCUACCAAUUGUAUUAAGUGUCACUUUGUUGCCACAAUUUUUUAAGUGACCAAUGGUCAACCUUUUUUAGAGUGUAUUGGGCUCAGCACAAUGCAAUGUAAUCUAUCAAAUCAAAUGCCAUCAAUGCACACAAUUUAUCACUGAUCUGUUGUUCCGUCUGUCUUUUUUCAACCCGUCUCUAUCUUUGUCUGUUCUUUCCCAAAAAUGCACUCUCAACCCCUUGUUUCUAUUGCUAAAUCUGUCACACACCACUCACCGAUUGUCACUCACCGAUUCGGGUCCCACCCUGCAUCGGAAACUAAAUAUACUGUUUCCUGCAGUGACUCUCCGACCUCAGGUCCCACCCUGCAUUCCCAAUAACUAACCGCAGUGACUCUCCGAGCAUCCACCUGCGCAGGAAUUUUCUCUUAUAUUCACUUAUUAAACCUUAAAACUUCAAGACGUCUUUCUGCCCAUUCUCAUCUGCCUUUUUUUAUUUUCACUUCCACCCUCUAGUUCUCGGCGUGAGGCCAACUGCCUACACCCUCCCCAGGGCUGCUCUUCUCAGACUACAGAUACAAAUUUAACACAGACUUAGAGUAUAACAGGUGUCUGCUUAUCUGUCUGUUUUAGUGCCGGCGAUCUGUAGCUCGUAGUAGUCGCGGUCCUAGCUCAGGUUUCGGACUCACGUCAGCCUUCCCCUGCAAAAUUCCCGGGUUUCAGCACCAAUAAAUAUGUCAGAACUCAGAGUCCCCUCCGAGUGGACAUAUCACAAGGUGGAAUUUUAGAUUGUGUCUAUUUCUAUUAUUUCCAUAAUCUUACUCAAUGAACUCAAUAAACUAUCAAAUACUUGUUUGUCUACAGCAGGUGUGAACUCAAUUCGUUGCCAAUGUGAUCAACAUCAGGCUCGGCCAACACCUCUUUGUCCCUUGGACGCCGAGGUUAUUACAUCUUAUGGCAGCCGCAUAUUAUUCUCUUGGUCCUCCUGCUCAUGAGACCAUUUCAGUUUUGCCUCAAAAGCAGGUGAUUUCACCCCCACAAUCUUCCAUCCAGGGUCAUAAAGAUUAUGUGCUGCUGUCGGAACUCAGAGUCCCCUCCGAGUGGACGUAUCACAGGGUGGAAUUUUAGAUUGUGUCUAUUUCUAUUAUUUCCAUAAUCUUACUCAAUGAACUCAAUAAACUAUCAAAUACUUAGCCAAAAUAACGGAGAUCUCAGUCGCAGUCAAUCACAUGCAUUUCUGAAGAGAGCAGCUGGUCUAAAAAAAAACCCAAAAAUUCCCCUCUUCUUAUACCUCAGGCGCCCCAUGGCACCUCCUUUUCCAAAUUUAAAUAUUUCCAGCAAUUUCACAUUAUAUUCAAUGUAUGGCUACUUUAAUCCUUCCUUCCUUAAUUUACAUACUUACUAUAUUUUCUUAUUUGUCCCGAUACCGCCCCUUAAUUAAAACAUCCUCCCCUUGAUGACAUCAAUGUUCCUUCUCUCAAUGUUCCCCGUACAUACAUAGAAGGGCACGCUUCCUUCAUUUGACCACAACCUUUCGGGUACAUGAUGUUUACAACAAUGUGCACAUACCUACCUCGAUGUUUACAACGAUGUGCACGUACCUCACGUACCUUGAUGUUUUAAAAUUAGAUGUGCAACCCUCUAUAUCUGAAUUUGAAUGUGCUUCUCUUUUACCUAUUAAGCGAUGCUGAUGCUGAUAAGAUGCUGUUAUGUCUAGCGUAUGUCUGUCUUCUCUCACCUGGGUGUAUAUGCUGGGCUCUGAAAAUCCCCUUAACUUCUCAUCACCAAAAAAUCCCCUCUAUUUCACCCUUCUCAGCACUAGUUCUGCAUGAUUAUUAUAAAAGUUAUACAUUUGCAUUAAUCAAAAGCUCAAAAGCCUGAUAUAAAGGAUAUAUAUUUUAUAUAUUUGCAUUACUCAAAAGCUAACUACUAAUCAGUAGCUAAAUAUUUUGAUAGAUAUUUGAUAGGUAUUUGAUAUUUGAUAGAUAACCACUACUUCUAGGCAGAGCAUUGCCAUUUUAAAUCCAGGCUAAUGUAUGAUGUAUGAUAUCUAUGUAAUUUCUCCAACAUCACCGACGACACUGCAACCCUUCGUAUGUGCAGUCUUAGUCUCGAGGUGUGAUGCCAUUGUAAGACCCUUUUGACAGAUGUGUCCCUCACAGGCUGGGACGCCUUUUUUUGAUGGCCCACUCCCAAGGUGUUUGGAAAGGCCUUCAGUUCUUGUGGCAGCUUCAGACACUGCUUGUGUGAAGAGGCAUUCCCAUAUAGUCAAGUGUGUCAAUGUCUCAUUCCCUUCUUUAAUACAUACUCCAUUAUAGAGUGACUUUUGUGUUAAUUUUUGUUUCAAAUAAAAUAAUCAAAUUCACAAACAUAUUCUUUAUCAAAAUGUAAGAAGCACAUUGCAAACAAAAUAAAAUAAUAGAGAAAUUAAACUCUUUCACACUUAUUUUGUCUUGCUUUAAUUUUUGUGCAUUUGUGGAUUUUUACCAAUCUUUCUUUUUCUUUUAACAAGGGUUGGGGGUGGGGAGUCUUAGAUGAUGAUAUUCAACUUAAAUCUCCAUUGGUCAACUUCUUCUGGGAUGGGAAAUACUAAGGUUGCCAGGCCUACCUCAGACAUGGUGAAACAAAUAGACAAAUUGCUCAGAAGAAGGGAUACCUCAAGGCAGAGGUUUUUAAACAUCGCCCCACAAACCUGCUUCAGCUGAAGAAUGUUAUUCGGCAGGAAAUAGCCUGAAUUCCGGUGGACAUGUUGGAACGUGUAGAGGGAAACGUCAAAAAUCGGUUGCAUCAGUGCACAGAGAACGGUGGCCACCACCUUCAAGAUACUUUGUUUAAAACAGCAUAAUUUGAAAUUUGAAAUUAUGUUCUUUCAUUAUCAAAAA